GUGGGGAAUCUUGCACAAUGGGCGAAAGCCUGAUGCAGCCAUGCCGCGUGAAUGAUGAAGGCCUUAGGGUUGUAAAAUUCUUUCGUCAGGGAUGAUAAUGACCGUACCUGAAGAAGAAGCCCCGGCUAACUUCGUGCCAGCAGCCGCGGUAAUACGAAGGGGGCUAGCGUUGUUCGGAAUUACUGGGCGUAAAGCGCACGUAGGCGGACUUUUAAGUCAGGUGUGAAAUCCCGGGGCUCAACCUCGGAACUGCAUUUGAAACUGGAAGUCUUGAGAUCAGGAGAGGUUAGCGGAAUACCGAGUGUAGAGGUGAAAUUCGUAGAUAUUCGGUGGAACACCAGUGGCGAAGGCGGCUAACUGGACUGAUACUGACGCUGAGGUGCGAAAGUGUGGGGAGCAAACAGGAUUAGAUACCCCUGUAGUCC
rnacentral:rRNA from 1 species